rnacentral:rRNA from 1 species
GACGAACGCUGGCGGCGUGCCUAAUACAUGCAAGUAGAACGCUGAAGGAGGAGCUUGCUUCUCCGGAUGAGUUGCGAACGGGUGAGUAACGCGUAGGUAACCUGCCUGGUAGCGGGGGAUAACUAUUGGAAACGAUAGCUAAUACCGCAUAAGAGUAGAUGUCGCAUGACAUUUGCUUAAAAGGUGCAACUGCACCACUACCAGAUGGACCUACGUUGUAUUAGCUAGUUGGUGAGGUAACGGCUCACCAAGGCAACGAUACAUAGCCGACCCGAGAGGGUGAUCGGCCACACUGGGACUGAGACACGGCCCAGACUCCUACGGGAGGCAGCAGUAGGGAAUCUUCGGCAAUGGACGGAAGUCUGACCGAGCAACGCCGCGUGAGUGAAGAAGGUUUUCGGAUCGUAAAGCUCUGUUGUAAGAGAAGAACGAGUGUGAGAGUGGAAAGUUCACACUGUGACGGUAUCUUACCAGAAAGGGACGGCUAACUACGUG